CUGCAUGGAAAGAAGAAACUCUUUGCACCUCAGAUCCUUUCGAAGAAGGAGAGAAUAUAAAAGGUUAGGGUGAGAAACAGGGAGAAAGGGAAUAGAACAGGGCUGGCUGGAAUGAGCGAGGGAGAGAAUAUAAAAGGUUAGGGUGAGAAACAGGGAGAAAGGGAAUAGAACAGGGCUGGCUGGAAUGAGCGAGGGAGAGAAUAUAAAAGGUUAGGGUGAGAAACAGGGAGAAAGGGAAUAGAACAGGGCUGGCUGGAAUGAGCGAGGGAGAGAAUAUAAAAGGUUAGGGUGAGAAACAGGGAGAAAGGGAAUAGAACAGGGCUGGCUGGAAUGAGCGAGGGAGAGAAUAUAAAAGGUUAGGGUGAGAAACAGGGAGAAAGGGAAUAGAACAGGGCUGGCUGGAAUGAGCGAGGGAGAGAAUAUAAAAGGUUAGGGUGAAAAACAGGGAGAAAGGGAAUAGAACAGGGCUGGCUGGAAUGAGCGAGGGAGAGAAUAUAAAAGGUUAGGGUGAAAAACAGGGAGAAAG